AAUUGCGUUAAUUUCAACAAGCCCACCCACCCAUACAUUAUUCUACUUUUCAUAUGUAAAUUUAGGCAAUUACUUUAUAUUUUAACAAAUCUAACCCUACUCAUAUCUUAUUCUAUCCGCAUCCUUUUUAUUUUACCUGAUUCAUUUCCCCAUUCUUUCUCUCCUCAUUGAACGGAAAAAUCCAAUCAUCCAUGGCAGCAACGAUUUUGUCACUCCCAAUACCUCCGAUUGCAACUCUAAAGUAUCGAGUUUGUUGUCAGUAUCAUGGGAGAUAGGAAAAAUCAGGUUUUGUUCUCAAAUUAAAUUCAUCUCUGACUAUUGAAAGUGUGAAGAAGACUUACUGAAGAAGAGAAACCUAUGGUGAAUGCGGCAGCAAGCGAUGAAAUCAUGUUACAAUAUGUCAAAUACUUGUGAAAUCAUUGUUAAAAAAUUGUAACUUUUUAAAUUGGUAGUAUCCUAGAUAUGUUUGUCAUUCGUGUUAUUCUUGUACAUAUAGGACACAAGGGUGUAUUUUACAUAGAAAAUAUUGAUUUUUUUUACUAAAUAUUAUAAAUACAAGCUUUUUUCAUCAGUAGAGUAAUUUUUAUUUUAA